UACGGAGGGAGCUAGCGUUAUUCGGAAUUACUGGGCGUAAAGCGUACGUAGGCGGCUUUGCAAGUUAGAGGUGAAAGCCUGGAGCUCAACUCCAGAACUGCCUUUAAAACUGCAUCGCUUGAAUCCAGGAGAGGUGAGUGGAAUUCCGAGUGUAGAGGUGAAAUUCGUAGAUAUUCGGAAGAACACCAGUGGCGAAGGCGGCUCACUGGCCCAUUACUGACGCUGAGGCACGAAAGCGUGGGGAGCAAACAGG
rnacentral:rRNA from 1 species